GUACAACAUUAAUGGCAGAUCCACAGCACUGGGAAGGACUUAAAUACUAGACUAACGAGGGAACAAACAGGAGGCAGCUGGGAUUGCUUAACAAAAGGGCUGGAACAAGUGGUAAGACAAACAAGCUCCAGGUGUGUUUUGUUAGAGCCACGCCAGGGAGGAGACAGGAGGGGCAGAUAGGCAGAGUGUGACACAAUGGCUAUAAAUAUUGUAGUUGCAAAAUAGCUAUGAGAGAAAUCUGGAGUUACAGGAUAUGGACGGCUAUGAGAGGAAGCUGAAGGUUGACAGUGGCUAUGAAAGAUUAAGCUCCCAGAAAAAUGUGGACUGUCUGUGGGUGACCAAGGACUGGACUGGGAAACACUGACCUAAAGGAGCUGGAUGGCUAGAAGGAGGAGACUGAAGCCACAUGGUCAGAAUAGUUAUGGAAAAAGUGAAGCUGAAGCUGCAGGUUGGAAUGGCUAUGAGAGAUGUUUCUGGGUUGGGGGGUCUGCAAGAGGAUGAUUACCAAUAAACACUUGAUGAACUGUAGUGAGAUCAUCCCAACAGACUGUUCAUGCAAAAAUUUUACCUGUACCUGAAAUCAUAUGAACAGUACAAGAAGCAUACGUGACUAAACUAUUAAACACAGUACUGAA